GACGAACGCUGGCGGCGUGCCUAAUACAUGCAAGUAGAACGCUGAAGGAGGAGCUUGCUUCUCUGGAUGAGUUGCGAACGGGUGAGUAACGCGUAGGUAACCUGCCUGGUAGCGGGGGAUAACUAUUGGAAACGAUAGCUAAUACCGCAUAAUAGUAGAUGUUGCAUGACAUUUGCUUAAAAGGUGCAAUUGCAUCACUACCAGAUGGACCUGCGUUGUAUUAGCUAGUUGGUGAGGUAACGGCUCACCAAGGCGACGAUACAUAGCCGACCUGAGAGGGUGAUCGGCCAAACUGGGACUGAGACACGGCCCAGACUCCUACGGGAGGCAGCAGUAGGGAAUCUUCGGCAAUGGACGGAAGUCUGAACGAGCAACGCCGGGUGAGGGAAGAAGGUUUUCGGAUCGUAAAGCUCUGUUGUAAGAGAAGAACGAGUGUGAGAGUGGAAAGUUCACACUGUGACGGUAUCUUACCAGAAAGGGACGGCUAACUACGUG
rnacentral:rRNA from 1 species